rnacentral:rRNA from 1 species
CGUAGGGUGCAAGCGUUGUCCGGAAUUAUUGGGCGUAAAGAGCUCGUAGGCGGUUUGUCGCGUCGGCUGUGAAAACUCGGGGCUCAACCCCGAGCCUGCAGUCGAUACGGGCAGACUAGAGUGCGGUAGGGGAGACUGGAAUUCCUGGUGUAGCGGUGAAAUGCGCAGAUAUCAGGAGGAACACCGGUGGCGAAGGCGGGUCUCUGGGCCGUAACUGACGCUGAGGAGCGAAAGCGUGGGGAGCAAACAGGAUUAGAUACCCUGGUAGUCCACGCCGUAAACGGUGGGUGCUAGGUGUAGGCGGUAUUCCACGCCGUCUGUGCCGCAGCUAACGCGUUAAGCACCCCGCCUGGGGAGUACGGCCGCAAGGCUA